GCCGAUGUGUUUGAUUUUCCUCUCAUUUUGUGUGUCUUGAACCUUAUCUUAAAAAUUUAUCUUAAAAAGAUUACACACACACACAUUUCCUACAAAAUGAAACACACCAACAAGCAUCAGGUCCUUCCUCUCCCUCUCGGUUCCACACUGCAACACAAAAAGGAGAUUUUCAACUAUCAGACAACUCUCAGUCGACACCCCUAACCCUCACCCUCUGCUCCUCUCUCGUGACCGAGCAUCGGCGAUCGGAGAGCUCCGACCGACCACCGAUCUUCUUACACCUCCUACAAACCCCCAAACACCCACCUGCCACCCCCUGCUUUCUGUUCGGUCACCGGAGAAGCCACGGACCGCCGGUCAUUUCGUUUAUCCGAUGGUCCGUUCCGUCAAUAAACCGACACCCAUAACCACCACAUCACAAACAACCCACCCCCCUUCGAUUGACGGCCGGCCACCACUGUGGUGGCGGCGCACGGUGGUGUUUCCGACGAGACGGAGCGAUCGAGAAGACUAAGAGAGAGAGAGAGGAGAGAGAGAGAGAAAGGCCAGCAGACCGGCGGACGGAGACUCGGUCCGGCGGUCGACGUCAAGGACCGGCGGUCUGUGUCUUGGUUCGACGGAUUCACGACGAUAAAGAUGGUGGUGGUGCUAUUUCAGGUCAGUGGUUCAACCUUGGGUCGUUCUCAGUCGGGUCAUCCCUGUUACGGUUCAGUUUAGGUGUUCGAAGGGUUGGUUCGGUUUAUGUUUGACUCAGGUAUUCAGGUUCGGGAUUAGCGGAUCAGAUUAUGACUUAACUCGGUUCGAUUUGGUGUAUUUCAGCUUAACUCGGUUCGACUCGGUGUAUUUCAGCUCGACUCAGUCCAACUCGGCUCGACUCGGUUCUAUACGACUUGACUCAGUCCACAUGAGUCGACCCGGUCAACUCAGUCAACGUUUCGAUAUGAGGAUUUGCAGAUCGAUUUUCAUCUGAUAUGUUUUUGACGGGUUAGGGUUUUUCAAUUCCCAUCAAUAGAGAAGAAGAUGAAGGUUAGUAUAUGCUUCUGAAUGUUUGAUUCUAAGCAUGGCCCUUCUUGAUUGCUGUAUCUCAUAUUGAUUUAAGGUGGGGGAUCACCCGGAUAUCAUGUUUUAGGUUAGGGUUUUUCAAAGUCUUGAUUAUUACAUGUUAAGUUGGCUAUUGUGGUUAAGAAUCGGAGUUUCUUUUCUUCCUCCUUCUUUUGUGGAUUUAGGGUUUUGUUCGUUCAGAAAGUUGUUCUGAUAACUGGUCACACAGUUGCUUUCUGUUCUUUCACUGGUCAAUAAAGGGUUGUCUUUGGCUAUAUCUAUGGUUAGAUGAUAACAGUUUGGUACAAUUUCUCUGAAACAUAUUUGUUGCAGCUCUCGAGAAGCUGUUAGUGAACUAUGCUGCAAAAUAUACCGAAGAUGAAGUUUACAUGGUAUUAGGGAUGUUUCAGCAUAUGGUUAAUGAGCAUGUUAACUACGACAGUGUAAAGUUAUCUCCAAGACGGAGUUGUCCCCUCGCCCAUUUGAUAAGUAAGGAAAAACAAGCAAAAUGGUUCAUUUUGUGAGGGGUUUAAGUCGAGAAGUAGCUGGAUUUGCACCGUGAGCUAUUGGAAGUUGGAAAGGACAAGCACACAUUGAAGGUGGCUACGAGAAAGUUGGGUACUCACAAGAGGACAAAGAGGAGAGAAAAAAUGUCCAGCAUACUUCACAAGAUGAGGUUUGGUGGAGACACGCUGAAAUUAUGUCCGGAGGAAACAUUGACGAUGAAAAUGUUACUGAUAAGACAACCAAUGUGGUGUACAAGGACAUUUUUAUUGAAUCAAUUCUCAUUUUAUUUUUAUUAAAUACAAACUAUUUUUCAUUUGUUAAACCCAUAUUCUGACCCAUAUCUCCAAUAAUCUACUUUAAUUUAUGUUUAAUUAUGUUUUCUAUGUGUUAAGUGUGUUUUUUAAUCAUUUUUUUAUAUUUACUAUUGAUUAACAAGUAGAAUAUGUCAUAUUGAUGUGUACAAAUAUUUUUUAUUUUUUAUUUUAUUUUGAGCGCUUCGUACACGUGAAGCUCUCCCUUCGCGCUUGAAGCUUCGCUUAAAGCUUUUGGAACCAAAACGCUUCGGAGCGCCUCGCGCUUUUUUAAACCAAGACCGGAUAUGCAUUAUAUUUUUCAUAAAGAUGUAGAGGUUCGACUAUUGCGGGUCUUUGGCCACAAGAUUUACAAGGUGAACUAAGUUCCAGCUUUUCAAGAUGAAGUUCAUGAAACUUGGAUCAAAACCGGAUUUGUUUCAGUCCAAUGGCGAAAACACUCGGUCAAAGAACUCCACCACCCAAUCCUACCGGUGAUUACUUUGUAGCAAAGAGUAUUUGUCAAUUAGCAUGUGUAACGAAUAAAUUACUUUUUGUAUGAUUUAGUUAUGUGUUAAUCAUAAAUAGCUUUACUAUAU